ensembl:lncRNA
UUAAAUAAGGCUUAGUUUAGGAAGUGUAAGCCUUGACAAAAUGUAACCGAAGAGUGUCUGAGUGUUUGAAGUUGUUUCCUCACUAAUGUCUUAUGACUUCGUGUUUGUGUAAUGCCUUCUCCCCCAAGGAACUUCAUGUGAUUUGCAGAACCAGCGUCAGUAGUUACCAAUUGCUGUACUGCUGGGGUUAUGUUUCUGAGUAUGUUAUUUAUCAGCAGGACCUACCAGUUGUAACAAAACCCAAAUUUAACCUGGCUUUCUUGAAAAGGAUACAGACCUAAGAAAGGACUUUAAGUUAAUGACAACAUAACAUUUAGAAUUUCUGAUUUUAAAAUAAGAAAUGAAAAGUAUGUCUUAAAAUUUAUGCUUUUGGAGGCUGAACCCAUAUGUGUCUGCUUGUUCUUCUGUUUCCGCACGGCAACAAGCCUAGUUCUGUGCACGCAGUAGGUGUUUUGUUAAGUGCUUCUUGAUUGCUUCCCAACGUCCAUCUGAGUUUAGAUUUUGCAGGUGCCUCCAUCUGUCAGAAUAGAUGUGGUAGAGCCACUCCAGGAUUGUAUUAGAAAGAGUGUGGUCAUUAAUUAUGCCUCUUUGAUUAGACAUAGGGCACCAGCCUUCUCUUUUCUUGUCUCUUCUCCCCACCACCCACCCAAACAAUGUGAGCGUAGGGUUAAGGCAGCUUUUAUUUAAGAGUUAACAUGUUUCUACAAUAAUUCAUGAUUCUAAGAGUCCUCCAAGCUUUACAAGAUGAUUUUACUACUUCAUUGUGGAAGUUUGACUAGAUCAAUAAUUUAUUCCCAUAGAUCUAUGAAGGAUUCUUUCUGUACUUUGAAAGAAUUGCAUACGAAAGUCUCAUGUUUUCAUUUUAAACUUUGUUUCUCUAAUUUUCCCCUUCCGAUUCUCCUCAAAAUUCAACCAGAAUUAUGAAGAUAUUUCUAACCUAGUGAAUUUCCAAUAGCAUUUUAUUCUAACACCAUGAAUAAAUUUGAGUCUUGUGUUUUGUCCUUAAACACACUUCAUUACCCUUUGGAAUACAACAGUCAGUUGUUACAGUUGGGAAAAUCACUGUGGGCAUAAAGAAAAUCUGUUUGUCCCAAUGACUGUGAGUUCUUGGAAUAAUAUAUUACAGCUUGGUUUAUCAUUGAAUCGCUUGUUUUUUAAACUUAGAAUUUAUGAGAAAAAGGUUAUUAUAGAGCUAGUUAUAGCAUUUUAGAAAAAAAAUCAACCUUGUAAAUUAUCAAGCUCCUUGUUCCUUGGCUUAGUGAAAGUGAAAGUGAAGUCGCUCAGUCGUGUCCGACUCUUUGCGACCCCAUGGACUGUAGCCUACCAGGCUCCUCCGUCCAUGGGAUUUUCCAGGCAAGAAUACUGGAGUGGGUUGCCAUUUCCUUUUCCAGGGGAUCUUCCCUACCCAGGGAUUGAAACCAGGUCUCCUGCAUUGUAGGCAGACGCUUUACUGUCUGAGCCACCAGGGUAGUCAGGACUCUAUUAAUUUUAACACCUCUGUGAGGGUGUUAAGGUUGAGAGGAGUGAUGAAAUUUGCAUUAGGUAGUAUUAUUUUGUCAGGAGUCUGAUAUAUAGAUUAUUGUAAAGGAAUUAAAUACAUAGAGGCCCAGUUUUUAAAAAAUUAAUUACGUUUCCAAACUUCCAUUACAAGCAAGGUCUUGGGGAUUUGUCAUUAAUGAUAGACUCUACAUUUUAUAUGCUUUUUAAAUAGAGAACACAUGUAUACCUGUGGUGGAUUCAUUUUGAUAUAUGGCAAAACCAAUACAAUAUUGUAAAGUUAAAAAAUAAAAUAAAAAAUAAAUAGAGAAGGUGGCAAAUAAUUAAUUAUUACCGAUAAGAGGUUUUAGUCCACCUCUAUUUUAUAGGAAUUUGCCCUCCAAAUAUUUGAGAGAGAAGUCAAAUAAGAUAGGAGAAAAUCUUUUCCUGAGGUAGAAUAUUUCCUUUAAAAGUGACAAUCGAGAAAUAGUCAUUUCUAUACUUACUUGCCAAAGUUUAAAAAAUUUUUUAUGUUUCUUAUCUUAAACCCACUGCUCCCCCACCAAGGAUUCAGAAAGGGCUCAGUGUCGAUCCAGGGUCCCAGUGCCCAGUCAUUUCACUUUUGUCACUUCUAGGCUGCUGUGCUUGCCCAUGGUGAGGGCACUGAUGCACUUGUGUCCUAGGGUGGAGUGUGUGUUUGGUAAGGGGUGGUGCCAUGUCCAGAUUUCUGGUCACCCUUUUUCUAUGAGAUUUAUAAGCACCAUCUGUAAGCUGAAAUCCAGAUUAGACCUAUUCAGUAUGAAGUAGUGUUUUUUAAUAAAAAAAAAACUUCCUACAGUUAUUAUUUCAAUUCCCCAUGUAUCUCAAAUGUUGGGGAAAUGCUUUCUUGACUGUUUGACUUUGGAGGAUUUCAGUAGCUAUUAAUUUAGUAGAUUAACUAAAUCAUUAAUCUAUUGUCUGUUCAAAAGAUACCAGCAAAGGGUAUACUUUGCUGAACUGAUAAAUUAUUCUACACCAGGACUAACAAAUUCCUUGGUAACAUCAGGAAUAUCUUUUUUCCCCCUUCUCAUUUACUAGUAACUUUUCCAAGUUGCAUUCUGUUGUUGCAAGUUUCUGUAGUUUUCUUCUGUGACAUCUUUUCUAUUGUCUGACUUUAAAUAAAA